rnacentral:rRNA from 1 species
UACGGAGGGUGCAAGCGUUAUCCGGAUUUACUGGGUUUAAAGGGUGCGUAGGUGGGUAGGUAAGUCAGUGGUGAAAUCUUCGAGCUUAACUCGGAAACUGCCCAUUGAUACUAUUUAUCUUGAAUACUUUGGAGGUAAGCGGAAUAUGUCAUGUAGCGGUGAAAUGCUUAGAUAUGACAUAGAACACCAAUUGCGAAGGCAGCUUACUACACAGUUAUUGACACUGAGGCACGAAAGCGUGGGGAUCAAACAGG